GGGUCGCCAGGAACAAGAAGGAGAGAAGAACUCCCCUCAUCUUCACAAAGUUAGCAAAUUGAAGCCCUAAUUAUGGCCAUAACUCUUGCAUGUUAAUGGAUUCUUGAUCAUCUAGUCCUAACAAAGCUCAAGGGAUUAAAGAAGAAAGCUCGAGUCACUCCGGAUCACAUACAAACAACGACAAAGGUAAAGCUACUUGAUGGAUGGCAUAGUUGGACCGAACACACUUGCGAUGCACGCUUCCGCGAAGUCUCUAGUCAUGGUCUAAACUUUUGUUAAAUGUU